UGGAGAAUUUGGAAAAUCCAAUAAAAACAUCUCAAAGGUUCAGAUCAUAUUCUUGAAAAGGAGAGGAAAAAAAAAUAUGAUAAUAAUAAUAUGAAAUAUGAUAUCAACUCUUCAUGAAAAGGAGACAACAUAUCCAACAGCACUAUGGCAGUCUUCUGUUACUAAUCUUUACGCGUUGACGGACAAGAAAACCGUAUGUAUGAGAAGCAUCAUAUGAUCAAUGUAGUUACCCAGUGGCUUACUAGCAGCAUCACCAAAUUAAUGGCAAAAUUGGCUACAUUCUUGUAAGAUAAAUUGGCAUGUACUACAAUAGAAGAGCUCAACUUUCUUGGUACAUAUAUAAGUGAUCUAUGCUAAUGUAGAGAAGUAAGAUAAACCUGUGAAGAUACUAGCUGCGGGUGGUCCAACUUGGACCAGCAAGAAAUGCAAAUGAGGACUCCCAACUAUCAUGGACUUCCUGAAAGUAAUCUUAACAUAGAAAGCAAAUUGAUAAGGCACCUAUUGCCAUAUUAAAAUUGUACAACUGAACCAAUCAUAUAAACAAGGACAGCUCAUAAUUCAUUAUUGUUAUCAUAGGGUGUACAAUAUCACAGUAAAUAUUACUAAAGCUCACUGGUUGAUCAUUUUCUGCUUUAGAAUAAAACCCACACAUAGAAGGAAAAAAAGCAGAAAACAUAAGCAUUAAAAAAAAAAAAUCUUACUAAAAUCACAAAGCAUGCAAAAGAAAAGAUACAGCAGGUUAAAAGAAAUUUGAAAGACUUCACUAAAGACUAAUCUGUUUUGUUCCUUUAGUUUAAAACUCAGGUCUUCUGGAUCUUGAAGUUAUAUGAACUAUCAGAUUUCUCCCAAAAAGAAAAAGAGUAUUUAACCUAUCCAAAUACUAAAAUACUCAUAUCUGCUGUCCAGUUUUCCCCAGGUCAUUGACAACCAUGUAUCAUAUACAAGGGAACCUACAAGUAGAAAAACAAAAAAGAGAAGAAUUCUAACAUAGGAUGUUAGGUAAAAUUAAAUUAUAUGAUUUAGCUCAUGAUUACCUGUUUUCUUACCGCUGAUAUGGCUAGAAUAAUCUUGAUUAAAAAAUAUUUCCAAAUUUAUCAAGUUUAGGAUAUCAAGAGGAAAAAGGGGAGAAUUUAGAAGGAGAAAAAGACCUAGCUGGAGCUCUUUCUCCAAGGCCUCAAUCAAGCCUUCCACUUCUGCUCCUCAAUGAACCUCAUCACCACCACCUCCUCAAUCACCAUAUAUGAGGAUCCUACAUUGGUCUUGCAAUAGGGAGUCUCAUGUACUUAUACCAGGCCAAGGAACCCACUACCGUCCGGCUCUAGAAAAUUUGUAUCUCAUAAGAACUUGGAAAAUUGUAUUGGCUCUAGAAGCUCUCCCACAAAAGAGGCCUUAGUUGUACUCUUUUGCCAUCAAGUGAUAAUCAAUAAAGUUUUUAAAGUUCUUCAUCAAUUCAUUGAUUGGAGCGAUUCCCUUCUUGCCAUGGUGUGAGACCAUGAUCCUGUGAGAGAUGAUUGGUACAAGGAUGAAUUCUUUGAGCAUUCCGCAGAGAGGUUGAAGGUGAAAGGGUGAAGACUCUCAAGGAGGUUGGUGCGAGGUCAACAGUAAAACCUUGCUUCCACAUAUUCCAUAUUCUCGUGCAGGCUUGCCUGCAUCAGUUUUCGUAUCAAAGCAAAAAAAAAUAUGAACCUCAUUGUUUUAUCGUUCUCGCAUACCCCUUUAUAGCUUUCCUUCACCACCCUAUCUGUAUGAUCAACAGUCCUCUUCUGCUUCAUCCCAGAAAAGAAAUAAUGAUUGCUCCAAAGGUUUCCAAUCCCAAUCCCAAUCCUAAUCACCCAAUACCUCCUUUGGACAACAUCCUUGUAGCUGUACUAUCCAAUAUGAGGCUUAAUCCAAGUUAGUUAGGAUGCGUUCGGACAACAUAUCCAAUACCAUUUGACCCUGAUUUCAAACUGUUUAAUAUUUAGGGCCACAAGAUCCAAGUUGGACCUGGUUUUCUAGCUAGGUUAAACCUGGGAUUCCGAGGUUAAGCCAAAGCUGACUUCUACUGCCUUUGGGAUUCUGCUCUAAUUCCAAAUAGACCAUUUCAAACCAAGCUUAUCCAAGAACAUUCAAAAGAUUUUCCGAGAAAGACCAUUUAGAGCUCUCUAAAGAGAUCAUGGAUCACCGACGAAUUGACUAUUGCCACAGCUUCGACACCGUUCCAAUUCACAACAUACCUAGCAUCGAAACCUUAUUUUCCCCGUCAAAAGUCUAGUCCACAGAAAUAAAAAGAAAUAAAAAGCAUGGAGGAAUACCCAUUAAAAUCCUAAGUCGAAAACCAAAAUUAUCUUUGAGUACGAUCUCGAGAAAGCGAGAAAUCUCAAGAAGAAGCACUAAGAACGACCCAAAAAGAAAAUGAGAAGGCCACGAACUCAUACCUCAAGAAGAAUCACCAAGAACGAUAACAAAAGAAAAGGAGAAGUCCAAGAACUCAUCCCUCAAGAGAGUCACCAAAAACGAUCAAAAAAGAGAAGGAGAAGGCCAAGAACUCAGACCUCAAUAAGAAGCACCAAGAACGAUCCAAAAAAAAACAGAGAAGGCCACGAACUCGUACCUUACCCCGAGCAAAGACGAAGAGCUUCGUAUGCGUAUCUUCUUCUCCAGCGAUGGACGGACGGAGGAGACCGAUCCGAUCGGGGCGUUGGUCGCGAAUGAAAAGCCUGGGAGCAUCGAGAUGGUCGGAAGGAAAAAAUAGAAACCCACAUUGUUUCG
rnacentral:lncRNA from 1 species